UACGGAGGGUGCAAGCGUUAUCCGGAUUCACUGGGUUUAAAGGGUGCGUAGGUGGAUCGGUAAGUCCGCGGUGAAAUCCCCGAGCUUAACUCGGGAAACCUGGCCAUGGACUACUAUCGAUCUUGAAUACUGUGGAGGUAAGCGGAAUAUGUCAUGCAGCGGUGAAAUGCUUAGAUAUGACAUAGAACACCGAUAGCGAAGGCAGCUUGCUACACAGUCAUUGACACUGAGGCACGAAAGCGUGGGGAGCAAACAGG
rnacentral:rRNA from 1 species